UACGGGGGGGGCAAGCGUUGUUCGGAAUUACUGGGCGUAAAGGGUUCGUAGGUGGCCAACUAAGUCAGACGUGAAAUCCCUCAGCUUAACUGGGGAACUGCGUCUGAUACUGGAUGGCUUGAGUGCAGGAGAGGAACGCGGAAUUCCAGGUGUAGCGGUGAAAUGCGUAGAGAUCAUGAGGAAGACCAGUGGCGAAGGCGGGUCUCUGGACAGUUCCUGACACUGAGGCACGAAGGCCAGGGGAGCAAACGGG
rnacentral:rRNA from 1 species